rnacentral:rRNA from 1 species
AACGAACGCUGGCGGCAGGCUUAACACAUGCAAGUCGAACGAUGAACCCGGAGCUUGCUCCGGCGGAUUAGUGGCGAACGGGUGAGUAACACGUGAGUAACCUGCCCUUGACUCUGGGAUAACUGCGGGAAACUGUAGCUAAUACCGGAUACGACCCUCGGCGGCAUCGCCAGGGGGUGGAAAGAAUUUCGGUCAAGGAUGGACUCGCGGCCUAUCAGCUAGUUGGUGAGGUAACGGCUCACCAAGGCGACGACGGGUAGCCGGCCUGCGAGGGUGAGCGGCCACACUGGGACUGAGACACGGCCCAGAAUCCCACGGGAGGCAGGAGGGGGGAAUAUUGCACAAUGGGCGCAAGCCUGAUGCAGCAACGCCGCGUGAGGGAUGACGGCCUUCGGGUUGUAAACCUCUUUUAGUAGGGAAGAAGCGAAAGUGACGGUACCUGCAGAAAAAGCACCGGCUAACUACGUGCCAGCCGCCGCAGUAA